rnacentral:rRNA from 1 species
AUUGAACGCUGGCGGCAGGCCUAACACAUGCAAGUCGAACGGUAACAGGAAGCAGCUUGCUGCUUUGCUGACGAGUGGCGGACGGGUGAGUAAUGUCUGGGAAACUGCCCGAUGGAGGGGGAUAACUACUGGAAACGGUAGCUAAUACCGCAUAACGUCGCAAGACCAAAGAGGGGGACCUUAGGGCCUCUUGCCAUCGGAUGUGCCCAGAUGGGAUUAGCUAGUAGGUGGGGUAACGGCUCACCUAGGCGACGAUCCCUAGCUGGUCUGAGAGGAUGACCAGCCAGACUGGAACUGAGACACGGUCCAGACUCCUACGGGAGGCAGCAGUGGGGAAUAUUGCACAAUGGGCGCAAGCCUGAUGCAGCCAUGCCGCGUGUAUGAAGAAGGCCUUCGGGUUGUAAAGUACUUUCAGCGGGGAGGAAGGGAGUAAAGUUAAUACCUUUGCUCAUUGACGUUACCCGCAGAAGAAGCACCGGCUAACUCCGUG